GACGAACGCUGGCGGCGUGCUUAACACAUGCAAGUCGAACGGAAAGGCCCUGCUUUUGUGGGGUGCUCGAGUGGCGAACGGGUGAGUAACACGUGAGUAACCUGCUCUUGACUUUGGGAUAACUUCAGGAAACUGGGGCUAAUACCGGAUAGCAGCUGCUGCUGGAUGGUGGGGGGUGGAACGUUUCGGCGGUUGGGGAUGGACUCGCGGCUUAUCGGCUUGUUGGUUGGGUAGUGGCAUACCAAGGCUGUGACGGGUAGCCGGCCUGGGAGGGGGACCGGCCACAAGGGUACUGCGAUACGGCCCAGACUCCAACAGUAGGCAGCAGUGGGGAAUAUUGCACAGUGGGCGGAAGCCUGAUGCAGCAACGCCGCGUGCGGGAUGACGGCCUUCGGGUUGUAAACCGCUUUCGCCUGUGACGAAGCGUGAGUGACGGUAAUGGGUAAAGAAGCACCGGCUAACUACGUG
rnacentral:rRNA from 1 species